AGAUUGAACGCUGGCGGCGUGCUUAACACAUGCAAGUCGAGCGGAAAGGCCUUUCGGGGUACUCGAGCGGCGAACGGGUGAGUAACACGUGAGUAAUCUGCCCAUCGCUUCAGGAUAGCCAUCGGAAAACGGUGAUUAAUACUGGAUAUGACAUUCCUUCGCAUGUUGGGGUGUUGGUAAAGUUUUUUCGGCGGUGGAUGUGCUCGCGGCCUAUCAGCUUGUUGGUGGGGUAAUGGCCUACCAAGGCUUUGGACGGGUAGCCGGCCGUGAGGAGGGUGACCCGGCCACGCGUAGGGACUGAGACACGGCCAGACCUCCGUACGGGAGCAGCGAGGUAGGGAAUACGUUAGGACAAGU
rnacentral:rRNA from 1 species